GCGUCCGAAGACGCCUCUGUUUACCGGUUAAUCAUGAUGGCGAUUAAAUCGGCGUUUUACAACAACGAAGAAUACUGGCACGAAGAAGAUAGCUAAUAAGGUUGCGGUUAACAUUCCCCCCAUAACCCCUGUGCCUACUGCGUUCUGUGCCCCACUACCUGCGCCACGACUGAUAACUAACGGCAUUACCCCGAGAAUAAAGGCCAGCGAGGUCAUUAGAAUAGGACGUAAACGCAUACGGGAUGCUUCCAGCGUCGCUUCAAUCAAUCCACGUCCUUCUUUUUCCAUGAGAUCUUUGGCGAACUCGACAAUCAGGAUGGCGUUUUUAGCAGAAAGGCCAAUAGUGGUUAACAAGCCAACCUGGAAGUAAACGUCAUUGUUCAGACCGCGCAAUGACGCUGCAAGCAGAGCGCCAACCACGCCGAGCGGUACGACCAGCAUUACCGAGAACGGAAUUGACCAGCUUUCAUACAGAGCGGCAAGGCAGAGGAAAACGACAAUGAGUGAGAUUGCGUACAGCGCCGGUGCCUGGUUACCUGACAACCGUUCCUGAUACGACAUACCUGUCCAGUCAUAGCCAAUACCGUUUGGCAGCUGUGAAGCCAGGUUUUCCAUUAACGACAUUGCUUCACCGGUACUUCGUCCGGGCGCUGCUUCACCGAGCAGUUCCAUUGACGGCAUCCCGUUAUAGCGUUCCAGGCGUGGCGAACCAUAAAUCCACCGUGCUGAGCUAAAGGUAGAGAAGGGCACCAUCUCGCCAUUAGCGCUGCGAACAUAAAGAUUGUUGAUAUCUCCCGGCAGCAUACGGAACUGAGCGUCAGCCU
rnacentral:rRNA from 1 species